rnacentral:lncRNA from 1 species
CCACACUCUUCUCUAGUAAUUACUAUCUAAAUUUCAAUUUUCCAAAUUAUUUUGAUAUUGUAUUGCCAAAACACUCACCUACUUUUAAAAUUAUAUGUAAGGGAGAAGUGCAGUUGCCAGUUGCUUAUAUAUGUUCAGAAACAUGAGACAGAGAGAGAAAUUAUUGAACAAACCAUGUACCAUAUGAAGGAAAUCUUGACAUACUUCAUUCUUUUUCUUCUCUUAACCAGCAGUUCCACCUACUCAACAAUCCCAAACCAGUCUCUGAAAGAUGAAGAUAUAUUAGUCUCCAGUGGAAAAGCAUUUGCUUUUGGUUUCUUCAACCCUGGAAAAUCCAGCAAUCGAUAUGUUGGGAUUUGAAAUAACAAAGUUGCAGAACAAACAGUUGUACGGGUUGCCGAUUGGACCUCCGGAUUUCUUGAAAUCGACCCUGCUGGAAAUAUGGUUUUAUCCGAUACAAGUCACAAUCUUUCUGUCUGGUCAACUAAUGUGAUGUCAAUGAUUCUGAAAGUGUCUCCUUCAGCUCAGAUAAUAGAGAAAGGAAAUUUUGUUCUGUUUCAAGAUCCAAGCAAAACGGCUAUUACCGGGCAAAGCUUUGAUUAUCCUACUAAUACUUUAUUACAUAACAUGAAAGCAGGCUGGAACAGAAGGACUGGCUUGAACACUUUUUUCACAUCCUGGAAAUCUCGUGAUGACCCUGGAACUGGAGAGUGUGUUCAAAUUGGAAAUUAU